UACGUAGGGUGCGAGCGUUUAAUCGGAAUUACUGGGCGUAAAGCGUGCGCAGGCGGCGCGUUAAGACAGGUGUGAAAGCCCCGAGCUUAACUUGGGAAUUGCGCUUGUGACUGGCGUGCUGGAGUGUGGCAGAGGGAGGUGGAAAUUCCACGUGUAGCAGUGAAAUGCGCAGAUAUCAGGAGGAGCACCGGUGGCGAAGGCGGUUCUCUGGGCAUUACCUGACGUGGAGGAGCGAAAAGUGUGGGGAGCGAACAGG
rnacentral:rRNA from 1 species